rnacentral:rRNA from 1 species
AGGGAAUCUUCCGCAAUGGACGAAAGUCUGAUGGAGCAACGCCGCGUGAACGAUGAAGGUCUUCGGAUUGUAAAGUUCUGUUGUCAGGGACGAACAAGUACCGUUCGAACAGGGCGGUACCUUGACGGUACCUGACGAGAAAGCCACGGCUAACUACGUGCCAGCAGCCGCGGUAAUACGUAGGUGGCAAGCGUUGUCCGGAUUUAUUGGGCGUAAAGCGCGCGCAGGCGGCUAUGUAAGUCUGGUGUAAAAGCCCGGGGCUCAACCCCGGUUCGCAUCGGAAACUGUGUAGCUUGAGUGCAGAAGAGGAAAGCGGUAUUCCACGUGUAGCGGUGAAAUGCGUAGAGAUGUGGAGGAACACCAGUGGCGAAGGCGGCUUUCUGGUCUGUAACUGACGCUGAGGCGCGAAAGCGUGGGGAGCAAAC